ACUUGGUGCUGUCGCUGCUGCGCCUAUGCCUUGCAUGAGAAGCACAAGUCCAAGAAAGAUCCUGAGCAUGCCCACAAGCACAAGAUAGAAGAAGA